rnacentral:rRNA from 1 species
GCAAGCGUUGUCCGGGAAUUAUUGGGCGUAAAGCGCGCGCAGGCGGCUUCUUAAGUCCAUCUUAAAAGUGCGGGGCUUAACCCCGUGAUGGGAUGGAAACUGAGAGGCUGGAGUAUCGGAGAGGAAAGUGGAAUUCCUAGUGUAGCGGUGAAAUGCGUAGAGAUUAGGAAGAACACCGGUGGCGAAAGGGCGACUUUCUGGACGACAACUGACGCUGAGGCGCGAAAGCGUGGGGAGCAA